rnacentral:lncRNA from 1 species
UGUUGUAUGCAGCAGGCGGCUUAUAAGUGUUGUAUCCAGCAGGCGGCUUAUAUUGCAGCAGCUUCUGGCUGAGUCUCCAGUUCCCAACUCCCUGCAGAGGCACGGGGACUUAUGCACAACUGCUUCUGGUUUUCUAUAUUCUCUCAGGGAAUCUGAAGUAUUGGCUACAGAUCCAGGCUUGCCUGCCACUUCAAGGUACAGAGUGGUGAGUGCCACUACAAAGAAUAAAUAUGUGAUGGAGAGCCUUUAUAAGCUGGCCCUGAGAAAUGUCCAGUGUGUAGCUUCCACUUGUGCAUCCGGAGCUGUCACCCUGGACGAUCAGUCUUGGAGUGUGCAUUCAAUAAACCAACCCUGUUUAACUGAGA